rnacentral:rRNA from 1 species
GAGUUUGAUCAUGGCUCAGGACGAACGCUGGCGGCGUGCCUAAUACAUGCAAGUAGAACGCUGAAGAGAGGAGCUUGCUCUUCUUGGAUGAGUUGCGAACGGGUGAGUAACGCGUAGGUAACCUGCCUUGUAGCGGGGGAUAACUAUUGGAAACGAUAGCUAAUACCGCAUAACAAUAGGUGACACAUGUCAUUUAUUUGAAAGGGGCAAUUGCUCCACUACAAGAUGGACCUGCGUUGUAUUAGCUAGUAGGUGAGGUAACGGCUCACCUAGGCGACGAUACAUAGCCGACCUGAGAGGGUGAUCGGCCACACUGGGACUGAGACACGGCCCAGACUCCUACGGGAGGCAGCAGUAGGGAAUCUUCGGCAAUGGGGGCAACCCUGACCGAGCAACGCCGCGUGAGUGAAGAAGGUUUUCGGAUCGUAAAGCUCUGUUGUAAGUCAAGAACGAGUGUGAGAGUGGAAAGUUCACACUGUGACGGUAGCUUACCAGAAAGGGACGGCUAACUACGUGCCAGCAGCCGCGGUAAUACGUAGGUCCCGAGCGUUGUCCGGAUUUAUUGGGCGUAAAGCGAGCGCAGGCGGUUUGAUAAGUCUGAAGUUAAAGGCUGUGGCUCAACCAUAGUUCCCUUUGGAAACUGUCAAACUUGAGUGCAGAAGGGGAGAGUGGAAUUCCAUGUGUAGCGGUGAAAUGCGUAGAUAUAUGGAGGAACACCGGUGGCGAAAGCGGCUCUCUGGUCUGUAACUGACGCUGAGGCUCGAAAGCGUGGGGAGCGAACAGGAUUAGACACCCUGGUAGUCCACGCCGUAAACGAUGAGUGCUAGGUGUUGGAUCCUUUCCGGGAUUCAGUGCCGCAGCUAACGCAUUAAGCACUCCGCCUGGGGAGUACGACCGCAAGGUUGAAACUCAAAGGAAUUGACGGGGGCCCGCACAAGCGGUGGAGUAUGUGGUUUAAUUCGAAGCAACGCGAAGAACCUUACCAGGUCUUGACAUCCCGAUGCUAUUUCUAGAGAUAGAAAGUUACUUCGGUACAUCGGUGACAGGUGGUGCAUGGUUGUCGUCAGCUCGUGUCGUGAGAUGUUGGGUUAAGUCCCGCAACGAGCGCAACCCCUAUUGUUAGUUGCCAUCAUUCAGUUGGGCACUCUAGCGAGACUGCCGGUAAUAAACCGGAGGAAGGUGGGGAUGACGUCAAAUCAUCAUGCCCCUUAUGACCUGGGCUACACACGUGCUACAAUGGUUGGUACAACGAGUUGCGAGUCGGUGACGGCAAGCUAAUCUCUUAAAGCCAAUCUCAGUUCGGAUUGUAGGCUGCAACUCGCCUACAUGAAGUCGGAAUCGCUAGUAAUCGCGGAUCAGCACGCCGCGGUGAAUACGUUCCCGGGCCUUGCACACACCGCCCGUC